AUAUGUCUGUUCAAAAUGUUAUUUGAUGUACAUGUAAUUGUAUGUAACUUAUAUUGCAGUAUCUUCAACUGGAGGAAAUGGGGAAUGAAUGCGGGACACAUUGAUAAGUAGAUUAUCUUGGGAAAUUUCUUCGCCCAUCUUCUUUGCUGACUUAGUUGGGAAAGCCAAGAUCAGAGAUGGAAAAGCCAACAAAAGAGUUUGAAAAAGCAAAGGUUCGGAAAAGCCAACACUGUAGAUUUCAUCCAUUUUAUUCAUUCUCAUUCAGUGUACAUUGUUAUCAAAUUUCACUGUUAACAGUAGAAAACAUUAAAUAAUACGUAAUAAAAUAUACAGUAACAACAUAUAUAGAAAAGUUGCAUGAAAAAGUAUCAAUGCAAACAUAUAAAAUCUCUGGCGCGAUGAUAGUUUGGAGGGCUGUGAAACAAGAAUGCCGUGUGUAAAACUUUGGGAAUCCUGAACCAACAUUCUAGUUACUAAAAGGCGAUUGUUAAGUCCAAAAUGUCAUUUGCUCUUCAUUAGUUCCUAAAUGCUAAUUGCCAAAUGCUAAUUGAUAAAUGUCCAUGGCUUAAUUUCGAUGGCCAAAUGAUAAGGUUAACUGCUUCUUGCCGAUUUCAGAUUGCUAUUAAUUGCCAUUCAUUCACAGUCAGCAGAUAUGUAUACUUAUAAUAGAGAUUCAUAACUAAAAUUCAUGUAAUAAAUACAUUAUAUAUUACAUAGAUGUUAACGGCAAACUAACAUCUUAAUGAUAAAAGGCAAUGACUUCAGGUUUUCCGUCGUCAACUUCCCA